GCGGGGGUAGCCAAGAGGUAAAGGCGCAGGGCUUAGGACCCUGUGGCGAAGGCCUUCGUGGGUUCGAUCCCCACCCCCCGCA
rnacentral:tRNA from 1 species